rnacentral:rRNA from 1 species
CACGUAGGGUGCGAGCGUUGUCCGGAAUUAUUGGGCGUAAAGAGCUCGUAGGCGGUCCGUCACGUCGGAUGUGAAAUUCCAGGGCUCAACCCUGGACCUGCAUUCGAUACGGGCGGACUAGAGUUCGGUAGGGGAGACUGGAAUUCCUGGUGUAGCGGUGAAAUGCGCAGAUAUCAGGAGGAACACCGGUGGCGAAGGCGGCUUCCUGGACCGACACUGACGCUGAGGCGCGAAAGCUAGGGGAGCAAACGGG